ensembl:lncRNA
GUGCCAUCAGAGUUGGGAAGUCUCUGUGGUGGGCGGGGGCAGGGGCUGGAGGGUCAGAAACCAGCUCUGAGACCGACUGGGAAGAACUGCAGCAAACCCUGGGCUCAGGGGGACUUGCCAAAGGUGUGGUCAGUGCGACUAGCCUGAAAAGGAGACUGAUGGAGGAGCUGCACUCCCUUGAUGUGGAGGAGGAGGACGAUGGAGUCCCUCCCCCCAGAAGUCCAGCUCCUCCCUUUCCUGUGGGGAGACUGACAGGUGUUUUGCCUGCAACAGAAUACCUAAAGAGGGGCAUCAGCAGCCUUUUCCUGAUGAGAAACCAAAGCCCACAGAAGUGAAGAGGCUUGCCCAAGGUCAUACAGCAGAUAAGUGGCCAAGGCAGAAUUCAAACACAGAUCUGACCCAUCCCAAAGUCGUCCCUCAGCUCCCUGUUAUUCUCUGGGUCUGAAAAAUGGAACUGCCAAUACCUGUGGCAUUCACAAGGACACAGAAAGAUGCAAGGAUUUGUCCAACGUCUCAUACACUGGUCAGAUCUGUCUGUGGUCUGAGUCAGAGACCCUGAAAAAGAAAAGGCAGCCCAGGGGGACCGUGGUUCCAGAGUCCUGUCCAUCACCUGCCCUGUCCUCCCAGGACAGCAGCCAGUGGAGACGGAGCCUUACAGAGGGAAUGGUGUGUGCGGCUGUGGCCCAAAGCAGGAUCUCUCCAUCAGCUGAGAGUGGGGUGGGACAGGAGGUCAAGGCCUGAGGGGUCUACUUCUAUCCCAGCCUAGAAGGCUCAAGGUCUUGCUAAGAGAUCUAACCCCUCCCUUUCAGUCUCUUCCUGGCACCCUGGCCUGGCACCCUCUAGGAUGCAAUGUUGUUUAAUAAUUCAGCAGAUGCAGACAAAGAUAGCAGCUCUGAAAAUAACCUAACUAAGCCCCAGCCUCCAUCUCCUCUUUCCCCAGCAGACUGCCCUGCCCUUCCCCCAAGGUCUCUGGUCGCCCCAUACACCUGUCAGUGCCCCUGGCUGCCAAUGGGCACCUGGUUCAACACUCUUCCUCUUCCUUCUAGUCUUUCUCCUCCUUCUCCCCUCUCCUCCUCACCUCCAUGAGAACUCCAUUCUCAUAUUAAAAGCUUUUAUAUUAAUCAGAGCUUAAAGAAAUCUUGUGCUACAAGUAGACUUGGGUUUAAUUCAUUAUGUGGACUUCGAGCAAGUUCCUUCUCUCUAAGCUUCUGUUCCUACAUUUGUAAAACGAGGUCUCUGGAUUCCUAAAUGGGCAUGAACAAAAUGUUUAGGGGGUGGCAAUUAUUUGGCCAGGGGACUAGAUAUCUUUCCUAGGAAGACAUAACAGCAGUGGCAGCGUCAUCUCAGUCAGCAGCACUGCAGUCCAUCCUGCUGCUCCAUCUGGAGAGCCCACAGGUUUUCUUUGUUUUUAAUUUCUCUUGUGAUGAAAAUUUUGCCCUGGUUAUCAUUCCUGGAAUAAAAGGCUGUGACUUGUGUUCACAAUGGAUGUAGCAGGUUCCACAUGCUUUCAGCACUUCAUCACAUUUCUGACAAGUAGAAAUUUUACUU